GCUGGAAUAGCUCAGUUGGUAGAGCAACUGAUUCGUAAUCAGUAGGUCGGAGGUUCGAGUCCCCUUUCCAGCACCA
rnacentral:tRNA from 1 species